UGUCAUUUCAUGUUGUAGGUAUUGUGAUCCAAAGACAGGGUUGUCUUAUGCUACAAAAAAAGUAUUCAAAAUCAUUCUCCAACAGUUAAACAGUUCACGUAUGCACAAACUUUUUGGAUUGCAUUGAGGAGUCAUUGGAAUGGAAUAUUAGAUAAGUUCGGGUGAGAGACUUUACAAGAAUUAUUAUAUGUAUUAAACCUCACAUAAAGUGGUUGAUAUCUAAGAAACUGUUGUAAAAAAAUUUCUUUUGUAAUAGAAACUAUAUUUCUUUUGUAUACAA